CGGGCGCGGCGAACGGUCUAAGUCCCUUGGAACGGGGCGUCAUAGAGGGUGAGAAUCCCGUAUGAGAUCGGCGACCAAGCCCAUGUGAAACUCCUUCGACGAGUCGAGUUGUUUGGGAAUGCAGCUCAAAAUGGGUGGUAAAUUUCAUCUAAAGCUAAAUACCGGCCAGAGACCGAUAGCGCACAAGUAGAGUGAUCGAAAGAUGAAAAGCACUUUGGAAAGAGAGUCAAAAAGUACGUGAAAUUGUUGAAAGGGAAGCGCUUGCAACCAGACCUGCCCGUGGGUGAUCCCCCGUUUUUACGAAAGCGGUGCACUCGCUCACGAUCAGGCCAGCAUCGGUUCGGGCGGCCGGAUAAAGGCCGCGGGAAUGUAGCUCCUCUCGGGGAGUGUUAUAGCCCGUGGUGCAAUGCGGCCCGCCUGGACCGAGGAUCGCGCUUCGGCUAGGAUGCUGGCGUAAUGGUUGUAAGCGGCCCGUCUUGAAACACGGACCAAGGAGUCUAACAUCUAUGCGAGUGUUUGGGUGUCAAACCCAUACGCGUAAUGAAAGUGAACGGAGGUGGGAACCCUUUAGGGCGCACCAUCGACCGAUCCAGAUGUCUUCGGAUGGAUUUGAGUACGAGCAUAGCUGUUGGGACCCGAAAGAUGGUGAACUAUGCCAGAAUAGGGUGAAGCCAGAGGAAACUCUGGUGGAGGCUCGCAGCGGUUCUGACGUGCAAAUCGAUCGUCAAAUUUUGGCAUAGGGGCGAAAGUGAGUUUUGAUCGGUGGUGAUUGCAGAUGGAAG
rnacentral:rRNA from 2 species